UCCCUGGUGACUGAGAUGGUAAAGAAUCUGCCUGAAGUUCAGGAGACCCAGGUUUGAUCCCUGGUUUGUGAA
rnacentral:tRNA from 1 species